UACGAAGGGGGCUAGCGUUGUUCGGAAUCACUGGGCGUAAAGCGCACGUAGGCGGAUCUUUAAGUCGGGGGUGAAAUCCCGAGGCUCAACCUCGGAACUGCCUUUGAUACUGGGGAUCUCGAGUCCGGGAGAGGUGAGUGGAACUGCGAGUGUAGAGGUGAAAUUCGUAGAUAUUCGCAAGAACACCAGUGGCGAAGGCGGCUCACUGGCCCGGAACUGACGCUGAGGUGCGAAAGCGUGGGGAGCAAACAGG
rnacentral:rRNA from 1 species